rnacentral:lncRNA from 13 species
CAUUGAGGGAAGUGGAAAUGCUGAAGGACUUCCAGCCACCAGCUUGUGCCUGUGUUACCUGACCCAACCAGAGAUUCAGACACACCUACUGUCUGUAGCAGCGUGCCAAUCCUUGGUACCCUG